GACGAACGCUGGCGGCGUGCUUAACACAUGCAAGUCGAACGGUGAAGCGCCUUCCUUUUUGGUGGGUGUGGAUGAGUGGCGAACGGGUGAGUAACACGUGAGUAACCUGCCCCCUUCUUCUGGAUAACCGCAUGCAAGUGUGGCUAAUACGGGAUAUUUUGGGUCUGUCGCAUGAUGGGUCUGGGACAGUUAUUGUUUCGGUGGGGGAUGGGCUCGCGGCCUAUCAGCUUGUUGGUGGGGUGAUGGCCUACCAAGGCGGUGACGGGUAGCCGGCCUGAGAGGGUGGACGAUACCACAAGGACUGAGACACGGCCCAUACUCCGACGGGAGGCAGCAGUGAGGAAUCUGGCACGAUGGGCGCAAGGCUGAUGCAGCGACGCCGCGUGAGGGAUGGAGGCCUUCGGGUUGUGAACCUCUUUCGCCAGUGAAGCAGGCCUGCCUCGUCUGUGGGUGUGUUGACGGUAGCUAGAUAAAAAGCGACGGCUAACUACGUG
rnacentral:rRNA from 1 species